rnacentral:lncRNA from 1 species
UGAGCAUUUGUGUCAUCUCGUGCUGCUUUUGAAAUGUUUUGGUCUGCUCGAGUCCUCAUGCUGCUCCUGUGGCUCUGAUGAACCUCUGUGUGUCACCAAAGAUCCUCACAUCAGAAGGCAAGGGCAGGCCGAGCUAAACAGCUGGCUGGAUUUGCAUGAAAAUGGACUGCCCUUUUUCAUUUGUUUGUUCUUGGGAAAUUACAGUAGGAAAUUCACAUAAGGAAUUGCUCCUGCUUCGCUCACCUUCGAGCAGAGAUUCAAGGUUGGAUUUUCCCUGGGUUCAUUGGACAUAUCUCUGAUCUACAAUUUGAGUCUCUGAAGGUGAGAAAUUUCUGAGGUUUUGAAAGCAGGAAUGGCUCACAG